rnacentral:rRNA from 1 species
CACGUAGGGUGCGAGCGUUGUCCGGAAUUAUUGGGCGUAAAGAGCUCGUAGGCGGUGUGUCGCGUCGGCCGUGAAAACUUGCAGCUUAACUGUGGGCGUGCGGUCGAUACGGGCAUCACUGGAGUUCGGCAGGGGAGACUGGAAUUCCUGGUGUAGCGGUGAAAUGCGCAGACAUCAGGAGGAACACCGGUGGCGAAGGCGGGUCUCUGGGCCGAUACUGACGCUGAGGAGCGAAAGCGUGGGGAGCGAACAGG